GACGAACCGUGCGAACGUUGUUCGGAAUCACUGGGCUUAAAGGGCGCGUAGGCGGGCCGUCCGGUCCGGGGUGAAAAUCCACCGCUUAACGGUGGAACUGCCUGGGAUACCGACGGUCUGGAGGGGGGUAGGGGCACGUGGAACUUCCGGUGGAGCGGUGAAAUGCGUUGAUAUCGGAAGGAACGCCGGUGGCGAAAGCGACGUGCUGGGCCUCACCUGACGCUGAGGCGCGAAAGCCAGGGGAGCGAACGGG
rnacentral:rRNA from 1 species